UGCACUUUGGUAGUGUGGGGAACAGGAAGUUCCGGUAGGCGCACACCAUUCUUUAGAAUUUAGAAAACGUUUAAACUGUGCUGUCCGUUUCUCUUUAUUACUACAGGCCAACUCAGAUUAAAUCUGAGGUUUGUAACAUCAACAGUGAGGACAAACCCAACCUGUCUCUCUCCUUCCACACUGAAUCCAAACCUACGGUCACUGGGUCCUGAUUGUGACAGUGGAGCCCAGUUUGCGCUGCAGGAUCCAGAGAUGACAUCAGUGAAGCUGGAAGACUGCAGUCAAACACUGGAGCUGAAUGCCAACAUUAAAGAUGAAGAAGAGGAGGAGACGAUUGGGAAAUCUGUUCAUCAUGCUUUCAGUAGAAAACAAGAGACUGCCGUUGCAGUGGGCUAAGGAAUGAAAACACUGGACACUGGAGAAAUUUAAAAAACAUUGCCUGGUCUGAUGAAUCCCGGUUCCUGCUGUUUCAUGAUGAUGGGAGGACUAUGGGGCUUAGGGUGUGUUUUCAGGGCUCACAUUGGGCCCCUUGAUAAAAGUUGAACAAUGUUUGAAUGCCACAGGAUAUCUAAACAUCAUUACCAAUCUGGUGCCUCCCUUCACGGCAGUUGUGUAUCCAUCUGCAAAUAGAUUUGCAGGAUUAUGCCCCAUGCCACAAGGCUUGUCCAGGAAUGGUUCCAAGAACAUGACAAUGAAUUCAGUUUACUGCAGUGGCCUGACGAGUCAUCAGAUCUCAAUCCAAUUGUUCAUCUGUGGGAGGAGAUGGAAGGAGCUAUUCGGAGUAGAGAUCCACUCCCAGCCACAUUGACACAAUUGUGGGAAGCAUUGGAGUCAACAUGGGCCAGCAUCCCUGUGAACACUCUCAACACCUUGGACAGUCUAUGCCCCGACGACUUGAGGCUGU